AAGUCGAACGGUAACAGGAGAAGCUUGCUUCUUGCUGACGAGUGGCGGACGGGUGCGUAACGCGUGGGAAUUCUACCGUUUAGUGGGGGAUAGACCCGGAGAAAUCCGGAUUAAUACCGCAUAACGGACCCUCGGGGGAAAAGGGGGCCCUCUUCUUGAAAGCUCUUGCUAUUAGAUGAGCCCGCGUAAGAUUAGCUUGUUGGUGGGGUAAAAGCCUACCAGGGCAACGAUCUUUAGCUGGUCUGAGAGGAUGAUCAGCCACACUGGGACUGAGACACGGCCCAGACUCC
rnacentral:rRNA from 1 species